AACACGUAAAGAACCUGCCCUCAGGUCUGGGAUAACCACGAGAAAUCGGGGCUGAUACCGGAUGGGUCAUCGGACCGCAUGGUCCGAGGAUGAGAGGCGCUUCGGCGUCGCCUGGGGAUGGCUUUGCGGUGCAUUAGCUAGUUGGUGGGGUAAUGGCCCACCAAGGCGACGAUGCAUAGCCGACCUGAGAGGGUGAUCGGCCACACUGGGACUGAGACACGGCCCAGACUCCUACGGGAGGCAGCAGUAGGGAAUCUUCCACAAUGGACGAAAGUCUGAUGGAGCAACGCCGCGUGAACGAUGAAGGCCUUCGGGUCGUAAAGUUCUGUUGUAAGGGAAGAACAAGUGCCGCAGGCAAUGGCGGCACCUUGACGGUACCUUGCGAGAAAGCCACGGCUAACUACGUGCCAGCAGCCGCGGUAAUACGUAGGUGGCAAGCGUUGUCCGGAAUUAUUGGGCGUAAAGCGCGCGCAGGCGGCCUCUUAAGUCUGAUGUGAAAGCCCCCGGCUCAACCGGGGAGGGCCAUUGGAAACUGGGAGGCUUGAGUAUAGGAGAGAAGAGUGGAAUUCCACGUGUAGCGGUGAAAUGCGUAGAGAUGUGGAGG
rnacentral:rRNA from 1 species